UACGUAGGGGCCUAGCGUUGUCCGGAUUUAUUGGGCGUAAAGAGCUCGUAGGCGGUUCGGCAAGUCGGAUGUGAAAUCUCCACGCUUAACGUGGAGGGGCCAUUCGAAACUGCCGUGACUCGAGUCCGGUAGGGGAGUGUGGAAUUCCUGGUGUAGCGGUGAUAUGCGUAGAUAUCGGGAGGAACACCAGUGGCGAAGGCGACUUCCUGGCCUGUUCUUGACGCUG
rnacentral:rRNA from 1 species